UACGUAGGCAGCAAGCGUUGUUCGGAAUUACUGGGCGUAAAGGGUGUGCAGGCGGCUUGGUAAGUGUGGCGUGAAAUCUCCCGGCUUAACUGGGAGGGUGCGCUACAAACUGCCGGGCUAGAGUGUGGGAUGGGAGAGUGGAAUUCCUGGUGUAGCGGUGAAAUGCGUAGAUAUCAGGAGGAACACCGGUGGUGUAGACGGCUCUCUGGACCAUAACUGACGCUGAGACACGAAAGCGUGGGUAGCAAACAGG
rnacentral:rRNA from 1 species